ACCUUCGUGGUGUAGUGGUCAGCACAAUCGGUGCAUAUUCGAGAGGUCAGUGGUUCGAGUCCCGGCGAGGGCA
rnacentral:tRNA from 1 species